rnacentral:sRNA from 1 species
UCCAUCUGACAUAAAUAUGAUCCAAGGAAACUACGGACUCCUUCCUGAACUGCCUGCUGUUGGAGGGAACGAAGGUGUUGCACAGGUGGUAGCGGUGGGCAGCAAUGUGACCGGGCUGAAGCCAGGAGACUGGGUGAUUCCAGCAAAUGCUGGUUUAGGAACCUGGCGGACCGAGGCUGUGUUCAGCGAGGAAGCACUGAUCCAAGUUCCGAGUGACAUCCCUCUUCAGAGCGCUGCCACCCUGGGUGUCAAUCCCUGCACAGCCUACAGGAUGUUGAUGGACUUCGAGCAACUGCAGCCAGACCUGAUAUCCAGAAGCUGAGUGACAGACUGAAGAGUCUGGGGGCUGAGCAUGUCAUCACAGAAGAGGAGCUAAGAAGGCCCAAAAUGAAAAACUUCUUUAAGGACAUGCCCCAGCCACGGCUUGCUCUCAACUGUGUUGGUGGGAAAAGCUCCACAGAGCUGCUGCGGCAGUUAGCGCGUGGAGGAACCAUGGUAACCUAUGGGGGGAUGGCCAAGCAGCCCGUCGUAGCCUCUGUGAGCCUGCUCAUUUUUAAGGAUCUCAAACUUCGAGGCUUUUGGUUGUCCCAGUGGAAGAAGGAUCACAGUCCAGACCAGUUCAAGGAGCUGAUCCUCACACUGUGCGAUCUCAUCCGCCGAGGCCAGCUCACAGCCCCUGCCUGCUCCCAGGUCCCGCUGCAGGACUACCAGUCUGCCUUGGAAGCCUCCAUGAAGCCCUUCAUAUCUUCAAAGCAGAUUCUCACCAUGUGAUCAUCCCAAAAGAGCUGGAGUGACAUGGGAGGGGAGGCGGAUCUGAGGGGCUGGGUGCAGGCCCCUCAGUUGGGGUUCCCACCUUCCCCAGACUACUGUUCUCCUCACUGCCUCUUCCUAUUAGGAGGAUGGUGAAGCCAGCCACGAU